AGCGUAACAAGGUUUCCGUAGGUGAACCUGCGGAAGGAUCAUUACCGAGUGCGGGUCCCCUUCGUGGGACCCAACCUCCCACCCGUGAUUAUUGUACCUCCUGUUGCUUCGGCGCGGCCCCCCGGGGCCCGCCGGAGACAUCUUCUCGAACGCUGUCUUUGAAAAGGAUUGCUGUCUGAGUAAACAUACCAAAUCGGUUAAAACUUUCAACAACGGAUCUCUUGGUUCCGGCAUCGAUGAAGAACGCAGCGAAAUGCGAUAAGUAAUGUGAAUUGCAGAAUUCAGUGAAUCAUCGAAUCUUUGAACGCACAUUGCGCCCCCUGGUAUUCCGGGGGGCAUGCCUGUCCGAGCGUCAUUACUGCCCCUCAAGCGCGGCUUGUGUGUUGGGCCGCCGUCCCCUGCGCCUCCGGGCAAGGGGGACGGGCCCGAAAGGCAGUGGCGGCGCCGCGUCCGGUCCUCGAGCGUAUGGGGCUUUGUCACCCGCUCAGUAGGUCGGGCCGGGGCCUUUGCCCUCUCCAACCUUUUUUUCCUUAGGUUGACCUUCCGG
rnacentral:rRNA from 1 species